ACUGCGGCGGCGGUGGUCUGAGGAAGUUCUAUCUUGGCGCUAAAGCGGAGACGCAUCCCCCGACCCGAGGCUACGAUGAGCACACCGGCCGUGCCCCAGGACCUGCAGCUGCCCCCGAGUCAGAGGGCGCAGUCCGCAUUCAAAGGCAAAGAAGACAAAAACUCAAGGAACAUCUGUUGAGAAGAAAAACGCUUUUUGCAUACAAGCAGGAAAAUGAGAUGUUAUCCAGAGAGAUCAGAGAGUUGUGACAUCUGAGGACCAAGUUCAAGAAGGGACUAAAGUGCUGAAACUUAAAACAAAAAUGCUGAUAAAGAAAACAUGAAGAGACCUGCAGAGAGCAAAAAUAAUACAGUGGUGGGGAAACAUUGUAUUCCUUUAAAACCUUCAAAUGAACUAACCAAUUCAACUGUAGUAAUUGACACACAUAAACCUAAGGAUAGUAAUCAAACUCCGCAUUUGUUACUAACUGAAGAUGAUCCCCAAAGUCAACAUAUGACAUUAAGCCAGGCAUUUCACCUUAAAAACAAUAGUAAAAAGAAACAAAUGACUACAGA
rnacentral:lncRNA from 1 species